rnacentral:rRNA from 1 species
AUAUUGGACAAUGGGCGCAAGCCUGAUCCAGCCAUGCCGCGUGAGUGAUGAAGGCCUUAGGGUUGUAAAGCUCUUUUGUCCGGGAAGAUAAUGACUGUACCGGAAGAAUAAGCCCCGGCUAACUUCGUGCCAGCAGCCGCGGUAAUACGAAGGGGGCUAGCGUUGCUCGGAAUCACUGGGCGUAAAGCGCACGUAGGCGGACUCUUAAGUCGGGGGUGAAAGCCCAGGGCUCAACCCUGGAACUGCCUUCGAUACUGGGAGUCUUGAGUGUGGAAGAGGUUGGUGGAACUGCGAGUGUAGAGGUGAAAUUCGUAGAUAUUCGCAAGAACACCAGUGGCGAAGGCGGCCAACUGGUCCAUUACUGACGCUGAGGUGCGAAAGCGUGGGGAGCAAACAGGA